rnacentral:rRNA from 1 species
UACGAAGGGGGCGAGCGUUGUUCGGAAUUACUGGGCGUAAAGGGCGCGCAGGCGGCUCUGAAAGUCAGAUGUGAAAGCCCCGGGCUUAACCUGGGAACUGCAUUUGAUACUCUAGAGCUUGAGUACGGGAGAGGAGAGUGGAAUUCCCAGUGUAGAGGUGAAAUUCGUAGAUAUUGGGAAGAACACCGGUGGCGAAGGCGGCGACCUGGUCCUUGACUGACGCUGAGGCGCGAAAGCGUGGGGAGCAAACAGG